rnacentral:rRNA from 1 species
UACGUAGGGUGCAAGCGUUGUCCGGAAUUACUGGGCGUAAAGGGCGCGUAGGCGGCCUGUUAAGUCGAACGUGAAAUCCCCGGGCUCAACCCGGGAACUGCGUCCGAUACUGGCAGGCUUGAAUCCGGGAGAGGGAUGCGGAAUUCCAGGUGUAGCGGUGAAAUGCGUAGAUAUCUGGAGGAACACCGGUGGCGAAGGCGGCAUCCUGGACCGGCAUUGACGCUGAGGCGCGAAAGCCAGGGGAGCAAAGCGGG